rnacentral:rRNA from 1 species
AUUAUGGCUCAGGAUGAACGCUAGCGACAGGCCUAACACAUGCAAGUCGAGGGGCAGCGCGGGAGAAGCUUGCUUUCCUGGCGGCGACCGGCGCACGGGUGCGUAACAGGUGUGCAAUCUGUCCAUAGUCGGGGAAUAGCCCAGCGAAAGUUGGAUUAAUGCUCCAUGUGAAUCGAGACCGCAUGAUUUUGAUUUGAAACGUAAGGACUAUGGGUGAGCACGCUUCUGAUUAGAUAGUUGGUGAGGUAACGGCUCACCAAGUCGACGAUCAGUAGGGGUUCUGAGAGGAAGGUCCCCCACAUUGGAACUGAGACACGGUCCAAACUCCUACGGGAGGCAGCAGUGAGGAAUAUUGGUCAAUGGGCGAGAGCCUGAACCAGCCAAGUCGCGUGAAGGAUGAAGGUUCUAUGGAUUGUAAACUUCUUUUGUCCGAGGGUAAAAAAGGCUACGUGUAGCUUCUUGCAAGUAUCGGACGAAUAAGCAUCGGCUAACUCCGUGCCAGCCGCCGC